rnacentral:lncRNA from 1 species
UUGACAGUUCAACAUGCAGAACUUCAAUAAAACAAUAGUCCUGAUAUUUGGGUUUCGUGUUUUUGACUCGCCCAGUAUUUCGUUUCUGUACUUGCUGUGCCGUAAGGCCUGCUGUUAUGGUUAUUCACAUUAAUCUAGUCAGUCAUGACAAUGUGAAUAUCCUAAGAUGUAAUAUUGUACUUGAUCCUCUGACAUGUCUGAUGACCAUUUAAAAUGUAGAGUAGUUCAUGUUUGAUGACAGCAUGUAUAUAUAUUUUCUGUUCCUGAUAGACUGUGUUUGGGGCCAUUCAAUGAGGAAGAAUCAGGGCACUGUCGUAUAGAACUCCUAUAUAGCUCCUACAGGGAAUUAUUAAGGUUUCUUUUGGAAGAACACUAGCUACGCUAGGAAUGUUGUAUCAGCCUUUGGUCAACUGUACUGGAAGUUAAUUAAUGAUUUUCUUCAACAUACAUCCGACAUGCUCUUUCAUUUGACAGCCCUUUGAGUAAUCACAUAUUUGUUUUCCUGUUUUUGUUGUUAAAAAUAACAUCACAUGUAUAAUGAUAACUUGUGUUUUAUGUAUAUGCUUUCAAUUUGCUUCAAGAACUACUGCAAUUUCUUUUCUAAACAUAGUUAAUCCUCUUUAAGCAUUAAUACUUUUUGCAUGUUUUCCUAAAAUAUGACUUUGUAUUGUAUUCCUUGAUUUUUUUAUGCUCUAAAUCAUUUGGCAGGCUCCAUAAACAUUAUUAUAACUGUGUCCAUGAACAUAAACGACCAUUAAAAUGAUGCAUACAUUGGAGACGUAAUCUUAUCAAUCCCCCAUUUUAUGUAUACAAAUACCCUGGCCAAUACUGCUGGCACUUUCAAUGAAUUCAGGUUAAAGGGUAUACAUCAAAUACAAUACUAAACUGACCUUUUUUAUUUUUAAUUUCUAAAAUAUUUUUGGGAAAGAUACCACAAUGAAGCCAAUGUGUUUAUGAAAUGCUUGUUUUUCUAGUCAAAGGAUAUAUGUUGAUAAAAAAAAAAAAUUCAAAUUUUAAAAGAAUUUAUCAUCCAGUGUUUAAAUUUUUUUUUUUACAGAAGAUGAAUAAACUAGCAUUCAUGUGUACAUCACCUCAAA